AACUCUCAGCAACGGAUAUCUUGGCUCUUGCAACGAUGAAGAACGCAGCGAAAUGCGAUACGUAGUGUGAAUUGCAGAAUUCCGCGAAUCAUCGAGUUUUUGAACGCAAGUUGCGCCCGAGGCUCGUCCGAGGGCAUUCCUGCCAGAGCGUCA
rnacentral:rRNA from 15 species